AGAGUUUGAUCAUGGCUCAGGACGAACGCUGGCGGCGUGCCUAAUACAUGCAAGUCGAGCGGAUGGAUUCAGAGCUUGCUCUGAUGAUGUCAGCGGCGGACGGGUGAGUAACACGUGGGUAACCUGCCUGGCAGAUCGGGAUAACGCCUGGAAACGGGUGCUAAUGCCAGAUAAUAAACUUUGGGGCAUCCCAUAGUUUU
rnacentral:rRNA from 1 species